GGGGAUGUAGCUCAGUAGUAGAGUGCUUGCCUAUCAUGCACGAAGCCCUGGGUUUGGUCCCUGUCAUCCUCU
rnacentral:tRNA from 1 species